rnacentral:rRNA from 1 species
AUUGGAUCCAGACUUUGAUUCUGGCUCAGGAUGAACGCUAGCUACAGGCUUAACACAUGCAAGUCGAGGGGAAACGAUAUUGGAAGCUUGCUUCCGAUAGGCGUCGACCGGCGCACGGGUGAGUAACGCGUAUCCAACCUGCCCAUCACUUGGGGAUAACCUUGCGAAAGUAAGACUAAUACCCAGUGACGUCUCUAGAAGACAUCUGAAAGAGAUUAAAGAUUUAUCGGUGAUGGAUGGGGAUGCGUCUGAUUAGCUUGUUGGCGGGGUAACGGCCCACCAAGGCGACGAUCAGUAGGGGUUCUGAGAGGAAGGUCCCCCACAUUGGAACUGAGACACGGUCCAAACUCCUACGGGAGGCAGCAGUGAGGAAUAUUGGUCAAUGGUCGAGAGUCUGAACCAGCCAAGUAGCGUGCAGGAAGACGGCCCUAUGGGUUGUAAACUGCUUUUAUAAGGGAAUAAAGUGAGUCUCGUGAGACUUUUUGCAUGUACCUUAUGAAUAA